rnacentral:lncRNA from 1 species
AUGUACGGGACAGGCUUCUCCCUAAGCAUAGAGAGACAGUGCUAUCGUGCUGACCUUGAUGCAGAGAAAACAGGAGAAGAAGAAGAAUGAGAAAAGAAUGUGGAGACGGCCAAAUAGGGCACGGUGUUGUCUGGUAUGAACCAAUCAGAGUGGGACAUGACAGCACGGUUUUGUAGGUAAAAAUGUAAUAUAAGCUGUGUUUUAGUAGUGAAUAGAGGCCAUUUUACCGCUCAUCAUAUUGGUGUCACCUCGGUAUAUGGCCAAGCCGCAGGCUCCC